rnacentral:rRNA from 1 species
UACGUAGGGGGCUAGCGUUGUCCGGAAUCAUUGGGCGUAAAGCGCGUGUAGGCGGUCCGGUAAGUCCGCUGUGAAAGUCGGGGGCUCAACCCUCGGAUGCCGGUGGAUACUGUCGGGCUUGAGUACGGAAGAGGCGAGUGGAAUUCCUGGUGUAGCGGUGAAAUGCGCAGAUAUCAGGAGGAACACCAAUUGCGAAGGCGGGUCUCUGGGCCGAUACUGACGCUGAGGAGCGAAAGCGUGGGGAGCAAACAGG